GAUGAACGCUGGCGGCGUGCCUAAUACAUGCAAGUCGAGCGAACAGACGAGGAGCUUGCUCCUCUGACGUUAGCGGCGGACGGGUGAGUAACACGUGGAUAACCUACCUAUAAGACUGGGAUAACUUCGGGAAACCGGAGCUAAUACCGGAUAAUAUAUUGCACCGCAUGGUUCAAUAGUGAAAGACGGUUUUGCUGUCACUUAUAGAUGGAUCCGCGCCGCAUUAGCUAGUUGGUAAGGUAACGGCUUACCAAGGCAACGAUGCGUAGCCGACCUGAGAGGGUGAUCGGCCACACUGGAACUGAGACACGGUCCAGACUACUACGGGAGGCAGCAGUAGGGAAUCUUCCGCAAUGGGCGAAAGCCUGACGGAGCAACGCCGCGUGAGUGAUGAAGGUCUUCGGAUCGUAAAACUCUGUUAUUAGGGAAGAACAAAUGUGUAAGUAACUAUGCACGUCUUGACGGUACCUAAUCAGAAAGCCACGGCUAACUACGUG
rnacentral:rRNA from 1 species